AGGAUAAUAGUUAAAUUAACGUUUAAAUUGCAAUUAAAAAAUACUAUAAAUAGUUUAUCUUA
rnacentral:tRNA from 1 species